UCCCGCCGCGGCAACCGGGCCUUCAGCCGGCCUCCUCUGUGCUGCCGCCGUGCCAGCGCCAAGGGCCCUGCCGCAGCCACCGCAGCCGGGCGCCGUCACAGGAGGGCCCGCUCCUCAGGUGCUCGGCAUCCUUGGUGCCAUGUUUUCUGGUAAAGAAAACGUUCACUGUAUUCACGAGAGCAGUCAAGGAAGAAAUGCUCGUAUAAUUAAACGACUCAGAUGCACAAGCAUGCAAGGUUGGACACAGCUUGUUAGACAUGGCUGCUAUUCAUAAAGCAGCUGUGAGGCCACGUACACGGGGGAACCUUGGUUUGUUAGAGCACCUGCUGGCAGAUGUAGUUGAUAUUCUUUGAGAAAACAGUACCACCUCAGGUUUGAAUUGGCUCACUCAAAGAAGUGCAAGAUGUAGAGCAGUGGACAGCAGCGCUUUCUGUAAAAGUAUCAGGAACAAUAUGAACACAGCCCCAGAAGUCUGUAGAAGUGCAUGCAGCAAGGAUUGUACGAUGGCAUUCUUUGGGGAUAA